AUACUUACCUGGCAGGGGAAUACCAUGAUCACGAAGGUGGUUUUCCCAGGGAAAGCCUUACCCAUUGCACUCUGGAUGUGCUGACCCCUGCGAUGUCCCCAAAUGUGGGAAACUCGACUGCAUGAUUUGUGAUAGUGAGGCACUGCAUCCACAA
rfam:Chlorocebus sabaeus isolate 1994-021 chromosome 21, whole genome shotgun sequence.